GACGAACGCUGGCGGCGUGCUUAACACAUGCAAGUCAGGGGGCGGGGUAACCCGUCACCGGCGAACGGGUGCGGAACACGUGAGCGACCUGCCCUGGUGUGGGGGAUAGCCGGCCCAACGGCCUGGUAAUACCGCAUACGGCUCCCGCUUGGAAGCGGGAGGCGAAACUCGCAAGAGGCGCUAGGAGGGGCUCGCGGCCUAUCAGCUAGGUGGUGCGGUAACGGCGCACCAAGGGGAUGACGGGUGGCUGGUCUGAGAGGAGGUCCAGGAACAUUGGGACUGAGAGACGGCCGAGACUCCUACGGGAGGCAGCAGUGGGGGCUGUUGCGCGGUGGGCGGCCGCCUGGCGCGGCGCCGCCGGGAGGAGGAUGAGGCCCUUCGGGGUGUAAACUCCUGUGGCCCGGGACGAAUGCCGUGACUCGGCGGGGUUGCCGGUCACGGGUGCGGAAGCCCCGGCUCCCUCUGUG
rnacentral:rRNA from 1 species